rnacentral:rRNA from 1 species
GAUGAACGCUGGCGGCGUGCCUAAUACAUGCAAGUCGAGCGAACAGACGAGGAGCUUGCUCCUCUGACGUUAGCGGCGGACGGGUGAGUAACACGUGGAUAACCUACCUAUAAGACUGGGAUAACUUCGGGAAACCGGAGCUAAUACCGGAUAAUAUAUUGAACCGCAUGGUUCAAUAGUGAAAGACGGUUUUGCUGUCACUUAUAGAUGGAUCCGCGCCGCAUUAGCUAGUUGGUAAGGUAACGGCUUACCAAGGCAACGAUGCGUAGCCGACCUGAGAGGGUGAUCGGCCACACUGGAACGUGGACACGGUCCAGACUCCUACGGGAGGCAGCAGUAGGGAAUCUUCCGCAAUGGGCGAAAGCCUGGCGGAGCAGCGCCGCGUGAGUGAUGAAGGUCUUCGGAUCGUAAAACUCUGUUAUUAGGGAAGAACAAAUGUGUAAGUAACUAAGCACGUCUUGACGGUACCUAAUCAGAAAGCCACGGCUAACUACGUG